UACGAAGGGGGCUAGCGUUGCUCGGAAUCACUGGGCGUAAAGCGCACGUAGGCGGGUCGUUAAGUCAGGGGUGAAAUCCUGGAGCUCAACUCCAGAACUGCCUUUGAUACUGAGGAUCUUGAGUUCGGGAGAGGUGAGUGGAACUGCGAGUGUAGAGGUGAAAUUCGUAGAUAUUCGCAAGAACACCAGUGGCGAAGGCGGCUCACUGGCCCGAUACUGACGCUGAGGCACGAAAGCGUGGGGAGCAAACAGGG
rnacentral:rRNA from 1 species